rnacentral:rRNA from 1 species
ACGAAGGGGGCUAGCGUUGCUCGGAAUGACUGGGCGUAAAGGGCGCGUAGGCGGUUUGGACAGUCAGAUGUGAAAUUCCUGGGCUCAACCUGGGGGCUGCAUUUGAUACGUUCGGACUAGAGUGGGGAAGAGGGUCGUGGAAUUCCCAGUGUAGAGGUGAAAUUCGUAGAUAUGGGGAGGAACACCGGUGGCGAAGGCGGCCACCUGGACGGUAACUGACGCUGAGACGCGAAAGCGUGGGGAGCAAACAGGA